GGUUGCAAGUUUUUGGUGUAUUAUGUUUGCUACUUGGUUGUGUCUAUGCAGAUAAUCUGUUUGUGCAAGCAGCUUGGAACUCGAUGUAAUAUGUUGAAUCGUUUCAGGUGCUAUGUGGCAUUUCCUACAAGUGUUGUUAUUAUUAUUAUUAUUAUUGGGGAACUUGAUGUAACUGUGGGAGCAAUGAUUGAACGAAAUUUAUUUAAUUCGCCAAACAAAUCUCAGAAAAAUGUUAAAAAUUCGAAUAUCAAAGAUAAGUAUGUGAUAUAAUGAAGUUUCUUAUAUCAAAUAUUCAUCUACGACUUUUAAACAAGUGAUGAAAGUUUGGUAGAUCAAAUUAUUUUAUUUUGCUUGAUGCAGUGAUGAUGAGGUUGCUUUGCCUAGCUAAACCGUUUCGAUAUUAUUCGUUUAUCAAUCAAUUUUAAAAAUUUCCGUAAAAAACAUAAAUGCAUUCUACUUGGCUGGGGAAUUUCAUUGCCACCAGUUCUCGUUAUAAUGAAUUUUCGACAAUUCGAAGAAGAAUAUCAAUAUUUAGAAACUUCAUAAGAAACAAAGUUGAAAAAACAGCAUGGCUAUAUGCGAGAAAAAAAUGCGCAUUGAUGGAAUAAUGUGAUCUUAGAG
rnacentral:lncRNA from 1 species